rnacentral:rRNA from 1 species
GUGAGGAAUAUUGGUCAAUGGACGAAAGUCUGAACCAGCCAUGCCGCGUGAAGGAUGAAGGCCCUCUGGGUUGUAAACUUCUUUUAUCUGGGACGAAAAAAGGGUAUUCUUACUCACUUGACGGUACCAGAGGAAUAAGCACCGGCUAACUCCGUGCCAGCAGCCGCGGUAAUACGGAGGGUGCAAGCGUUAUCCGGAUUCACUGGGUUUAAAGGGUGCGUAGGUGGGUAUUUAAGUCAGUGGUGAAAUCUCCGAGCUUAACUCGGAAACUGCCAUUGAUACUAUUUACCUUGAAUGCCCUGGAGGUAAGCGGAAUAUGUCAUGUAGCGGUGAAAUGCUUAGAUAUGACAUAGAACACCAAUUGCGAAGGCAGCUUACUACGGGGUGAUUGACACUGAGGCACGAAAGCGUGGGGAGCAAACAGGAUUAGAAACCCCGGUAGUCC